GUCUCCGGGUUCAGAAGCAUCCGGACACCGUGCAGCCUUUGGGGACGCCUAGAAGCCUGGUCCAACCCCAGGUUCUGAGGCCCGACCCCUGGGGCGUUCUGGGCGUGGCUGUGUCCAGUCACGUUCUAUAGUCGCGGUCCGAGCCGGAAACAGUGACCGAGCUCUGGACCUUGCCCAGCGCGAAACUCAGAUAAUGAGCUGCAGGACUAGGACACAGAGGUGGCCUCUCACACAGUCUUGUGUCCCUCACAGCCAGACUUAUCCGUGAUAAUUGGUCCUGCCACAAGCCCGAAUGCCUGACCUGCAACCGUGGUGUUUAUAUUUGUUCGCUUACACGUGAGAGUGCGCUAGCCAAACUGAUUGGUCCCGGGAGAGAAAAAAAACAAAACAAAACUGAAGUGUAACAGAGGUGAGUGCUGGCGCACACACCUGUGAUUCAAACAGUCUGGAAGCUGAGGCAGGAGGACCAGAAGUUUAAAACCCCUUUGCUCUGUAGUGGUCCUGUCUCAUAAUUUCCAGGAAAAAAUAAGUUUCCACAACCUUCUCAACCGUAACUUAAAUCUGUUUACAACAAGUGUGUUCCUAUUUUGUAUGCUAUGAUCAAUCAUUUCUCCUUGUUACGGUUUUGUUUUUUUUUUUUUUAGCAUUCUCUGCUGGAGUGGGAAUUACUGAGGCCAGACUGUCAUACAGAAAAGUAGGUUUCUUUUUCACUAGGAAAUUAGAACCCACUUUUGGGGAACUGAGGCCAUCAGUAGAAAGCUUGAUGUUUUUUAAUGUAGAUUCACAUUAUCUGGAUAAUAGCCUAUUAUACUCUUCUGUUGUCAUUUACUGUAGUUAGGAGUACUAAUGUGUGUGUGAGCUUUUUUUAACACUUCAAAGGCUGAAAAGUCAAACUGAUUUUUGUUUUUGAGACCUGCCUUUGCCGUGUAGCCCGAUUAUUUGAACCACCUCCAGAGUGCUGGGAUUAUAGACCUGUGCACCUGCCAGGCCAGGCUGAUGGACUGAUCUUUGGUUUGGUUUGGUUUGGUUUUGUCUUGUUUUGUUUUCAAGAUAAGAAAACUGUGUAGCCCUAGCUGACCACUAACUCACAGGGAUCCAUUUGACUUGGGAGUUCUGACAUUGCUGUUAGAUGGGUUGAUCAGGGUGACCUGAAAGUAAGAUUGAGCUCAACAGAAGCAAAUUGCCCUUUACUUAGAACAACGCAGGCCAGUGAGUUUGGCAGUUUCAAAGAGAACUUCUAGAGUGGAAGUUUCCAUAUGCAGAUCUGUUCCACUUAAUAGUAUCUCAAAAGCAUAAAUACAAAGGAGGUUGUUAUAGUGAUCUUCUUGUGGGCAACUUUUAUCAGCUUGUCAAUGUCAACUCUUCUGAGAUUCUCAGUUCAUCUGAGGUUUUGGUUUUUUUUUUUUUUUUAAGCCCUCCAAUUACAAGUAUGAGUCACAGGUCCAGCUUCCAAGCUAAAAUUUAAAAUUAUUAUUAUUGCCAGGCUGGGCGGCACUUAAUCCCAGCACUCAGGAGUAGAGGCAAGCAGAAACUACCAUCCAGCUGAAACUACCAAGUAAGACCCUAUUUCAAGAAUAAAUGAUGAUUAUUAGUGUUUGUGUACAUGCUACUAUGUAAGUGUGCUGUAGUAUGUCUGUGAAGGACAUUAACCUUUACUUGAAUUGUAGUAGUCAAACUCAGGCUUGCAAAGGCCUUCACUCUGAGCCAUCUGUCAGCUCUGCCAAGCUGAAUUUUUAAUAAAAGCCCAUUUU
rnacentral:lncRNA from 1 species